CUCUUCGGGGAUGAUUAAACCGGCGCACGGGUGAGUAACACGUGAGUGACCUGCCUUUUAGACUGGAACAACUUACCGAAAGGUGAGCUAAUGCCGGAUGAGUUAUAUAAGUGCAUGUUUAUAUAGGAAAAGUUGGGGAGACCUGACGCUGAAAGAUGGACUCGCGUCCCAUUAGCUAGUUGGUAGGGUAAUGGCCUACCAAGGCGACGAUGGGUAGCCGGCCUGAGAGGGUGGCCGGCCACACUGGGACUGAGACACGGCCCAGACUCCUACGGGAGGCAGCAGUGGGGAAUUUUGCGCAAUGCUCGUAAGAGUGACGCAGCGACGCCGCGUGAAUGACGAAGGCCUUCGGGUCGUAAAGUUCUUUCGACAGGGAAGAAAAUGCCUAUAAGUAACUGUGUAUGUAUUGACGGUACCUGUAUAAGCAGCCCCGGCUAACUCCGUGCCAGCAGCCGCGGUAAUACGGAGGGGGCGAGCGUUGUUCGGAGUGACUGGGCGUAAAGAGCACGUAGGCGGUGUUGUAAGUCAUUAGUCAAAGACUAGAGCUCAACUUUAGUAAGGCUAGUGAUACUAUAAUACUAGAGUAUCAGAGAGGAUUGCAGAAUUCCUGGUGUAGCGGUGAAAUGCGUAGAUAUCAGGAGGAAUACCGUUAGCGAAGGCGGCAAUCUGGCUGGAAACUGACGCUGAGGUGCGAAAGCGUGGGUAGCAAACAGGAUUAGAUACCCUGGUAG
rnacentral:rRNA from 1 species